rnacentral:rRNA from 1 species
UACAGAGGUGGCAAGCGUUGUUCGGAAUUACUGGGCGUAAAGGGCGCGUAGGCGGCCUACUAAGUCAGACGUGAAAUCCCCCGGCUUAACCUGGGAACUGCGUCUGAUACUGGAAGGCUUGAGGAUGGGAGAGGGAUGUAGAAUUCCAGGUGUAGCGGUGAAAUGCGUAGAUAUCUGGAGGAAUACCAGAGGCGAAGGCGGCUACCUGGACAAUUGCUGACGCUCAGGCACGAAAGCGUGGGGAACAAAAGGG